rnacentral:rRNA from 1 species
UGAACGCUAGCGGGAGGCUUAACACAUGCAAGUCGAGGGGUAACGAUCGGGAUUUCGGUUCUGAGGCGACGACCGGCGAACGGGUGAGUAACGCGUAUGCAACCUGCCUUUUACAGGAGAAUAGGUUUCGGAAACGGAAAUUAAUGCUCCAUAACACUUCACUGUGGCAUCACAGAGCAGUUAAAACUUCGGUGGUAAAAGAUGGGCAUGCGUAACAUUAGCUAGUUGGUAAGGUAACGGCUUACCAAGGCAACGAUGUUUAGGGGACCUGAGAGGGUGAUCCCCCACACUGGUACUGAGACACGGACCAGACUCCUACGGGAGGCAGCAGUGAGGAAUAUUGGUCAAUGGGCGCAAGCCUGAACCAGCCAUCCCGCGUGCAGGAAGACGGCCCUAUGGGUUGUAAACUGCUUUUCUGACGGAAGAAUAAUCGCUACGUGUAGCGAGACGACGGUACUUCAGGAAUAAGCAUCGGCUAACUCC